GGAGUAGUGUUCACGGGGAGUUGGUGAGGGGUCAUCAAUAGAAACGGGGAUUGGGUUGUUGGGGAGAAAAAAAAAAAAAGUUUAAUUGUAUAUAGCUUUUUGUAAAUAUAUCAAAUAGCAUAUAUAUUUUUAUAAAAUUUAAUUUUUUAUAUUUACUUUUGCAAAAAAAUUUAACAUUUUCAAAUAUACUCGUGUUGUUGGGAUCCGUUAGAAAAAUGUAGGUAGCAAUAGAUAAAAUACUUAACCCUCAUUAGUGAGUGAGAUAAAUUGACCUUUUUACCGUUCUUAUGUUAUUUGUGACAGUAGAAACGAAAAAGAUAAUAGUUGAAAAUUUUUAAAAGAAUAUUUCUAUACAAUUCUAACCGUUGGAAUUUUUGGAGAAAUAUACCUGUGAUGACAAAAAUAUUAUUUCACUUAGCUUUUGUUAAAAAAAAGGAAAAACUUCAAUACCACUACAGUGAUUUCGCACUUUUUUUAUUUCAGUACUCUGUGGUUUAAAGUGUAUCAAUUUAGUGUCACGUGGUUUUAUUUUUUUCUUUUUAUUAUUUCCUCCACUAACUUUUUUUAUUAAAUCAGUGAUAAAGUAAAAACUAAAAGGUACUAAAGUGAAUAUUCGAUAAACCUAGGCAGGAUAUCUGAAGUUUUUUGUAUAUAAUUUAACGAAAUGUCAACGAAGGAGCUGAUGAAAGAAGAAAAAUGAACACACUUUAAACCACAGGGUACUAAAGUGAAAAAGUCCAAAACCACAGGGUGGUAUUUGAAGUUUGUCCUAAAAAAUAAACAGUAUUCUAACUUUAAUAAACCAGAGGGGUGAAUAUGAAUACGACUGGACCUUUGUAGAGAUAAAUAUGAAAAGUUAAAUUUUUUGGGGAUAUAUUUGAGAUUCAAUGUAUUUACAGAGAGCUGUAUGAAAUUAACCCAGCUAAAAAAAUGAAUAGGAACUGGUCCAACCAAAUUUGGACUUAUUGUGAUGGAAAAUGACCAUGAUAAAAAUAAAAAAUGCAGCAAAUAAAUAAAAGUAUAUAAAGGACUUAUAGUGAUGGAAAAUGACCAUGAUAAAAU
rnacentral:lncRNA from 1 species